rnacentral:pre_miRNA from 1 species
AGACACCCUUCUGGGGCAAGACUUGCUUCAGUGGGGCUUUGGUGCUCACUGAGUCUGCCCCCCUGAGUGUGUCGCU